GCCCUGGUAGCUCAAUUGGUUAGAGCGUCGGACUUUUAUACGCCUUUGGGUAUAUAACAGAUCAAUCCGAAGGCCGCGGGUUCGACCCCCGCCUGGGGCG